UUCUUCACAGUAAAAUAACAACAACAAACCCACAAAGUGCAAGAUGGUGUAACCUCCUUGUUUAUAUCACAUCACAUCAUUGUUAGUCUACUUUCCUUUCCUCCUGUGGAAACAGGAAACACUAUGGCCAGUCCCCACACAGAUACUUGGGCUCUUUUGUUUCAGCCACUAAAUCCCAUCAGCCAGCACACCGGUUAUCAUAGUCAAUCUCUUCUUAAUCUUAAUUCCAAACCGAACUCCUGUCUGGAGAUUCGAGUUUUAGUUUGUAUUUCAAUAGCUCAUAUAGGCUUAUUUUUCUAUCGUGAACAAACUAAAAAAACUUCUAUAUUUUUUAAACUAGACAAUCUGAACACUGCCUGUCAAUAAACAAGCCAACAGACCACCAUUGAAGAGCAAACUUGCUCGAAUAAACAAGGCGGGGAUGCCUGUGGGAACAGGACUAGGACUGUCAUAGCUCGCUGGAGUUAUGGUUACAGAUGGAAACACAUUUUAGAAUGGGCCUGCUUCAGUUUCUCCUCUGGACCCAUGGUGGCUUCUGUGGUGUCCUGGGUUUUCCCCCACUCAUCUUGGGACAGCUUCUGUAAGUCAUGGAAGAUGAUGUAGCUGCUGCAUUGGUUUUGCCUCUUUGCAACAUACUCAGCACACACAUGCUUCUCAGCCAAACUGUGAGGGAAGCAGUGUACUUCCUCCAGGGCCACAGCCUCACGGUGGAAAUGGAAGCCCAAAGGGAGUUCUCAUGAAUUGAUGGCUGGUCUCUGCUCCCCCAGUCAUCAGCUGGAACAACUCAGUUGGAAUGAUGAAGGAUUUACUUUCAAGAUGGCUCACUCAACUGGCUGGCAUAUCGGAGCUUACUUAACUGGGACCUCAGCCAGGGUUGUGGACCAGAGGCCUUGGUUCCUUUCUAUACACCACGCGAAGAGGACUGGGCCAGCCCGUGGGAGACAUGUGGACUGGCCCACAGCCAGCCCCAGUUCUCACAUAUGUGAGUGGGGCUGCGCUGAAUCAUGCUGAAUCACUGAAUGAGUUCCAGGCCAGCUCCAAUUUAACUACAGACGUGUAAAUAACCGCAUGGGAGAUCAGCCAAACAGCCUCGCUAAGCCCAGUUCAAAUAGCGGAAGCACAGAAU